rnacentral:ncRNA from 1 species
AAAGUUUUAUUUAAGCUUAAAAUUUCGGUUUAUCAUUAUUUAAUAUGUAUAAAUUAUAUUAGAAAUUAAUUUGCAGUUCUUAGUUUUAAAUAAUUAUUUAAGUAAGUUUUAGUAAUUGAUUAUUGAUUUAAUAAAAUUUGUGCCAGCAAUUGCGGUUAUACAAAUGAUUCAAUUGAAAUUUAUUGGUUAAUAAUUAAUUUUUUUAAUAAAGUUUAUUAUUAAAAUUUUUAAGUGAAAUUUAAAUUUUAAUAUUUAUUUUUUUUUUAUAUUUGAAGUUAUUAAAAUUAGUAUUAAACUAGGAUUAGAUACCCUAUUAUUAUAAUUGUAAAUUUUUAAACCAGAUUAGUAUUAGUUAUGUUCUUUAAAAUUAAAAAAUUUGGCGGUAUUUUAGUCUGUUCAGAGGAACCUGUCCUGUAAUUGAUAAUCCACGAUUAGAACUACUUUUUUUUGCUUGUAUAUCGUUGUUUUUGAAUAUUUUAUAAGAAUUUAAAUUUUCGAUAAUUAUAUUUUAAUUAAUUUCAGAUCAAGGUGCAGUUUUUAAAAGAAGAGAUGGGUUACAUUAAAUUUAUUUAUGGUUUUUUACUUUAAAUAGUAAAAUUAAAUUGGAUUUGAUAGUAAUAUUUUAUAUAUUUUAUAUAUGAUUUUAGCUCUAAAGUGUGUACAUAUUGCCCGUCGCUCUCAUUUAUUUGAGAUAAGUCGUAACAUAGUAGAUUUACUGGAAAGUGAAUCUAGAAUUAU